rnacentral:rRNA from 1 species
GCGAAGGUAGCGCAAUCACUUGUCUUUUAAAUGAAGACCUGUAUGAAUGGCAUGACGAGGGCUUAACUGUCUCCUUUUUCCAGUCAAUGAAAUUGAUCUUCCCGUGCAGAAGCGGGAAUAAUAUCAUAAGACGAGAAGACCCUGUGGAGCUUCAGACACUAAAUCAGCCCUUGUCCAAAAUCCCAAUUAAGGGGCCGAACACUAGAGUGAAACCUGAUUUAACGUCUUCGGUUGGGGCGACCUUGGGGAAAGAAAAACCCCCACGCGGAACAGAAGUAUUAUACUUCCAAAACUAAGAGCCGCCACUCAAAGUAUCAGAAAUUCUGACCAACUAUAUGAUCCGGCCUAACGCCGAUCAACGGACCGAGUUACCCCA